CCACGAGGCGGGCUUGUCGUCCACGAGCGGCCUCGCCUGCUUCAAACCCGCCGGGGUGCGGGGUGGGGGCCCAGGCCCGGGGCAGAGGCCACCAGGCGAACAAGACCCGCCUCCGGGCGCGGUGGACGGAGAGGAAAGCCGCACGCUCACCCCUUUUCUAGAUGGUUACUUCCGCAGAGUUUCCCUUUGGGCGCCCGGCAAACUCCUAUUCAUCCUUGAAAACCCUGCUCGGGUGACCCGUGUGGUCGGCUGUGGCCACUGCGGUCUUGUCCGACACGGGAGUGGCCGUGACUCCGUCCCCCCGACCGACCUGCCAGGCCCGUCGGCACCUCCUCUGGGAAGGGGCCGGGCGCUGGGCCGCAGGGGGGCCGUCAAGGUCCAUCUUCCGGAAGAAAGUCUGUGAGGAAGGAACGCGACAAGGCCAGGUCGGCGGAGCGAUGCGCGGGACGGACAAGCCCCUGGAUCCAGCCGCGGCCCUGACUGCUUCACGUGAGCCGCAGGCGCUUCCCCGUUGCUCAGCGCGCUCGGGGGUCGGGGUCUGCCCCCGGCAGCCGGAAGAACCCGGUAAACGCACGCCCACUCGGUGCGCUCCCCGCUCCUGCGCUGACUCGACAGCCCGCUCCUCAGCGUUCCCUCCUCUCAGUGACCCGUUACCGGGAGGGCUCACGAGCGCGGCUCUCGGCGCCGAUUCCAGAGUCGGAAGCAGCUGGCGCCCGCCUCCCACACGGGAGGUCCUGGGUUCAGUUCCCGGCGCCUCCUAAGGAAGACGGGCAGACACAACGAGCAGAUGCAGCAAGCAGGCAACGAGCAGACAGACGAGGGAGCGGGCCGGACUUGGAGCAGGGGACGGGGACGAACACGAGACGCCAGCAGGUGCCGCCUCUGCCGAGACAUCGGGGUGACGUCCCCGCGACGAGAAGGCCACGCGCCCCGAACUCUGCCUGCGGGAUCCCCGAGAGCCCCCGGCCCCAAUGCUGCCCAGGAACAGGGAGCCGGGCGAGGGGACGGCCGACGCCGCGGGGACUGCUGGACGGGGUCCCCCGCCAGGAGGUAGGACCCUGGGGGUCCCGGAGACGGGAAAGGAAAGCGCAGCGGGAAGACGAAAAAAGGCAGCAUUUUGUUCUGUUUAAAAGUUUUUUAAAGCUGUGUUGUCGGCACCNNNNNNNNNNNNNNNNNNNNNNNNNNNNNNNNNNNNNNNNNNNNNNNNNNCUGACCUGGCGUGGGGAGAGGGCACCUUCCCCUCCAGCUUUGUUAACUUUUUUAAUUUUUGGAAGGCACCGGGAACCGAACCCGGGACCUCCCACGUGGGAGAGGGGCUCGGUCACCUGA
rnacentral:lncRNA from 1 species